UGUAAUAUUAUGCAUAUAUUCAUAUGUAUAUGCAUACGUGUGUGUGCGUGUGCGUGUGUGUGUGUGUGUGUGUGUGUGUAUGUGUGUGCUGUAGAAUCCUCAAUUGAUGUUGGGCUGAAAUGUUAUUUGAAAUGUUAUUGAAAUGUAAGUCUGCUGUUUUAUUGGCAUCCCCCAAGCUCCUUCCUUGUUGAUGAAUCACCCCCAAAAUAAAAACUACCUAAUGCUGUUGUAAUCAUUGUGAUGCCGCGAAUAUGAGGCCAAACCACACUCUUGCCAUCACAAAUGCCUCAACGAAAAGCAUGGUUGAGCUGAAGUAGGGACAAAUGGGCCUGAAGUAGCAACCAAUAGCCAGUCAAAGGAAUUAAGGUUCAUCCUCAGUUUAUGGCAGACAUAAACUUGUUCUGAUGGAACAUGUGUCUUCAGAUAGUGGAUUGCUGAUCUCUUGUGAGGAAGGUCUGUGAAAAAUAUACAAGUGAUGGAAAUGGAAUUAACUACUUGCCUGAGUACAGAGUAUGAGGACAACAUAUGCCAAUAUUCAUCCUGGGAAAAAAGGGAGCAUUAUUUUUUUUUGGUGAGUUUCUAUUGUAAUAUAAUAAUCGCAUAAUACAAAAAAAAAAAACAUGCUCUUGAAGAAGAUUGAUGAGCAGUGAGGUUUCAUCUCUACCAAGAGUG
rnacentral:lncRNA from 1 species